rnacentral:rRNA from 1 species
GACGAACGCUGGCGGCGUGCUUAACACAUGCAAGUCGAACGGAAAGGCCCUGCUUUUGUGGGGUGCUCGAGUGGCGAACGGGUGAGUAACACGUGAGUAACCUGCCCUUGACUUUGGGAUAACUUCAGGAAACUGGGGCUAAUACCGGAUAGGAGCUCCUGCUGCAUGGUGUGGGUUGGAAAGUUUCGGCGGUUGUGGAUGGACUCGCGGCUUAUCAGCUUGUUUGUGGGGUAGUGGCGUACCAAGGGUUUGACGGGUAGCCGGCCUGAGAGGGUGACCGGCCACAUUGGGACUGAGAUACGGCCCAGACUCCUACGGGAGGCAGCAGUGGAGAAUAUUGCACAAUGGGCGGAAGCCUGAUGCAGCAACGCCGCGUGCGGGAUGACGGCCUUCGGGUUGUAAACCGCUUUCGCCUGUGACGAAGCGUGAGUGACGGUAAUGGGUAAAGAAGCACCGGCUAACUACGUG